rnacentral:lncRNA from 1 species
CCCCAGCCCUGUUUUUGAUAAUCUUGACAGAUUUUAUCCCAAGGCCUCUCACUGCCCGGCAAAUAUUCUACCACUGAGCUCUACCCACAGACCCCAACUGUACUUAUUAAUGCAGUAACAUGGUGUUUCUAUACAUGUAUACAUUAGGUAGUAUUUAAAUCAGGUAAGCAUAUUUAGCUCCACAAACAUUUACCAUUUCUUUAUGGUGAAAACUUCAAAAUCAUUCUAAAUACGUUAUUGUUAUCCUUGAUCACACAAUAAAAUGCCAUUUUAAUCACAACACAUAUCAAGAUGAUUUAUCGCUAUUGAUGUUGACCUUGAUCAACUGGCCCAGGUAGUGCUUGUCAGAGUCCCCCUCUUUUCUUGCUGUAUUCUUUGGAAUAAAGUCACUCGUUCUACUUCAUUGAGGGCAGAGUAUGGAUCAUUUAGAAUACUUCAUGGAAGAUUUGUCUCUUCUCCCCCAUUUAUUUAUUUAUUCAGUUAUUUAAGUGUUUAUUUUGGUACUGGAGAUUGAACUCAGGGGUUCUUAACCAUUGAAUCACAUCCCAGCUCUUUCUUUAAAUAUUUUUAGUUGUAAAUAGACACAAACCUUUAUUUGGUUUAUUUAUUUUUAUGUGGUGCUGAGGCUCAAACCCAGUGCCUCACAUGUGUGAUGCAAGCGCUCUACCACUGAGCCACAAUGCCAGCUCCCUUUUUAGUUUUUAUUUUGAGACAGGAUCUCACUAAGUUGCUGAGGUUGGCCUCAAACUUGCAAUCUUCCUGCCUCAGCCUCCUGAGUCACUGGGAUUAGAGGCAUGCAUCAACACACCCAGCUCUCAAUCAUUUAUUUAUAUUACUAUGGACUCAUGGACAUUUAUUUUGCAAUUGAGACUAAAAUAUGGUGCUAUUUUAUUAUUCUCAAGUUCUAAAUUAUUUCACUUAUUUAUAUAUGUAUAUAUAUGUAUGUGCAUACUGGGAAUUGAACCCAGCGACAGGUGACAGUUUACCACUGAGCUACAUCCCCACUAAAUUUAUUUUUUAUUUUGAGUCAGUGCCUUGCUAAGUUGCUGAGAACCUUGCUUAUUUAUUGAGGCUGGCCUCAAACUUGUGAUCCUCUUGCCUCAACCACCCUAGACAGUGAGAUUGUAGGCCUAUGCCACCAAACCCAGCUUUUACAGUUUUAAAUUGGCUCCUGUGGCCACACAUAGUGGCACAUGCCUGUAAUCCCAGGAGGCCGAGGCAGGAGAAUUGCAAGUUAGAGGCCAGCUUCACCAAUUAAGCAAGGUCCCUAAGCAAUUUAGGAAGACCAUGUCUCAAAUAAAAAAUAAAAGGACUGGAGAUGGAGCUCAAUGGUAGAGGCACUUGG